rnacentral:lncRNA from 1 species
ACCCAGGGCGGGAGGCGGGGGCAGCCCCCUCCCCAGGAGGACUCACUGCCAGGCCUGUGCACGCAGACAGAGAGAAUUGUAAAGAGACAGAAUUUUACAAUCAGAUUUCCAGAUCUCUACAGCACUAGCUGACCUAGACUCUUCGACGCUACGUCUCAGAGCCUGGAAGAGUUUGGGAAGAGUCCUGGUCCUGCUCCCACCCGGCGCGAGGACCCUCUACCCACCGUGACCAGCGCUGACCAGCCUCACCACGCACCCCUGCCCUCCCUGCCCCCGUGGCUUCCGGGUCCCGGAAUGGUGGCAGUUGCCGGGUAUCUCGUGGGGUCUGCUCCCUGCAGCCACGUCCACCCGCGUGGCUGGUCGCGAGCGCCUCUCCGGACAGAUCUCCACCCUUCUCCCCACGGAAGCUGUGGAGGCGGCCUCCCCCGCCCCCAGGCCGCGGUCCCACAGGCUCCGGGGCCCCCCUCGACACCCGUUCCCCCUCGUCAGGUGCGCCUCAGGGAGCCCCAGCUCCGGGUGACCCGCUUGCUUCCCCGCCCCUCGGCAGAGCCGCUCCCGGGACCCCAGGGAUGGGUGACGAUGCCGGUCCUUCCGCCUCUCCCGGCUCGUGGCGGACCGUCCGUCUGUCAGGGUGACUGCCCGCCCCGCGGGGUCUCUCGGCGCUGCCUGCUCCCGGCUCCAGGAGGAUGGGAGAUGGGUGACGGCGGGGUGGGAUGUGGGGGCACAGGAGGCAGGAGGCUGACUUACGUGCCUCAGAUCUGCCCGAAAAGUGCCCUGUUCGGUGUGAAGAGACCGUGGGGAGGAGGAAGGAAGAGACUUUCUGCCCGGCAGAGUCAGGGGCUCCGAGGCAGCGCCGCCGCCGUUCCCAGGAGGAGGAGGAGAGACAUGCAGGUGGCCAACAGGCACAGGAAAAGAUGCCAGCAUCGCUAAUUAUCAGAGAAAUACAAACCAAAAUCACAGCGAGGUGCCACCCCACACUGGACAGAACGGCCAUCAUCAGAGGCUGCGGAUGGUAACGACCAGGGCGAGGCGGAGAAGAGGAACGUUCGUACCCUGUUCGGGGAGGCGUGAAGCGGCUCGGCCACUCCCGAAACCAGUACAGAGGUGCUUUAAAACCAAAAUUAGAGCUACCAUCUUAUCGAUUAAUCUUACUCCUGGGCCUCUAUCUGGAAAACAUGAAACUCUUCAUUUGAGAAGAUAACGCAUCCCGUGUUCAUAGCAGCACGAUUUAUAAUGGCAAAGACAUGGAAGCUCCCGAAGUGUUCGACAGCAUGUGAAUGAACAGAGAAGAUGUGGUACAAUAUAUGCAGUGGAAUAUUGCUCAGCCAUGAAAAAGAAUGAUGUGAUGCCAUUUUCAGCAACAUGGUGGACCUAGGAAAAUGUACUUGCCAAAGUAAGUCAAACAGGGAAGGACAGGCAUUACAGGACAUCAGGUACAUGCAGAAUCUAAAAAAAGAAUACAAAUGAAUCUAUGUACAAAAUAGAAGCAAACUCACGGAUACAGAAAAUGAAUUUACGGCUUCCAAAGGGGGGAGAGAGGGAAGGCGGGGUAAACUAGGAGCGUGGGGUUAACAAAUAUCAUUACACAGAAAAUACAGAAGUAACAAAGAUUUCCUGUGUAGCAGAUAUUACAUAUCUUGUAAUAACCUAUAGUGGAAUAUAAUCUGAAAAAAUAUAUGUAACCGAACCACUUUGCUGUAGCACUAAAAUUGACACAAUAGGAGUUCCCGUCAUGGCGCAGUGGUUAACGAAUCUGACCAGGAGCCAUGAGGUUGCGGGUUUGACCCUGGCCUUGCUCAGCGGGUUAAGGAUCCGGCGUUGCCGUGAGCUGUGGUGCAGGUUGCAGACACGGCUCGGAUCCUGCAUGGCUGUGGCUCUGGCGUAGGCCGGUGGCUACAGCUCCGAUUCGACCCUUAGCCCGGGAACCUCCAUAUGCCGUGGAAGUGGCUCAAGAAAAGGCAAAAAGAUGAAAAAAUAAAUAAAUAAAAUUGACACAAUAU